rnacentral:ncRNA from 1 species
AAAAAUGCUAUGAAUGGGAAGAGUACAGGAUAAUACUUUAAGAGAGGGAAAUAGAAGCUGAGAAUUUCCUAGGUCCAUUAACCUGGAAUGUCGCCCAUGAUGCUACUUCUUUGAAAACAGUAGAAGAAGUCGGAUGAAAUUCGUUAAAAGUGAUGAGUGUGCGAGCUUUUUUGCGCUUGCAAACAAAGGUGGUACCACGGAAGCAGUCUUUUCGUCCUUUAU